CUACGGGGUGCUGCAGUGAGGAAUAUUGCACAAUGGGGGGAACCCUGAUGCAGCAACGCCGCGUGGAGGAUGACGCAUUUCGGUGUGUAAACUCCUUUUAUAUGUCAAGAAAAUGACGGUAGCAUAUGAAUAAGCACCGGCUAACUCCGUGCCAGCAGCCGCGGUGAAUACGGAGGGUGCAAGCGUUACUCGGAAUCACUGGGCGUAAAGGACGCGUAGGCGGGUUGGAAAGUCAGGUGUGAAAUCCUACAGCUUAACUGUAGAACUGCACUUGAAACUUCUAAUCUAGAGUAUGGGAGGGGGAGAUGGAAUUAGUGGUGUAGGGGUAAAAUCCGUAGAUAUCACUAGGAAUACCUAAAGCGAAGGCGAUCUCCUGGAACAUUACUGACGCUAAGGCGUGAAAGCGUGGGGAGCAAACAGGAUUAGAUACCCGCGUAGUC
rnacentral:rRNA from 1 species